rnacentral:rRNA from 1 species
UACGAAGGGGGCUAGCGUUGCUCGGAAUCACUGGGCGUAAAGGGUGCGUAGGCGGGUCUUUAAGUCAGGGGUGAAAUCCUGGAGCUCAACUCCAGAACUGCCUUUGAUACUGAGGAUCUUGAGUUCGGGAGAGGUGAGUGGAACUGCCGAGUGUAGAGGUGAAAUUCGUAGAUAUUCGCAAGAACACCAGUGGCGAAGGCGGCUCACUGGCCCGAUACUGACGCUGAGGCACGAAGCGUGGGAGCAACAGG